GGCGGACGGGUGAGUAACGCGUAGGAAUCUACCUAAUGGUGGGGGAUAGCCCAGGGAAACUUGGAUUAAUACCGCAUAAGUCCUAAGGGAGAAAGCGGGGGAUCUUCGGACCUCGUGCCAUUAGAUGAGCCUGCGUAAGAUUAGCUAGUUGGUGAGGUAAGAGCUCACCAAGGCGACGAUCUUUAGCUGGUCUGAGAGGAUGAUCAGCCACACUGGGACUGAGACACGGCCCAGACUCCUACGGGAGGCAGCAGUGGGGAAUAUUGGACAAUGGGGGCAACCCUGAUCCAGCAAUGCCGCGUGUGUGAAGAAGGCCUUCGGGUUGUAAAGCACUUUCAGAUGUGAGGAAAGGUUGCAGAUUAAUACUCUGCAGCUGUGACGUUAACAUCAGAAGAAGGACCGGCUAACUCCGUGCCAGCAGCCGCGGUAAUACGGAGGGUCCGAGCGUUAAUCGGAAUUACUGGGCGUAAAGCGCGC
rnacentral:rRNA from 1 species